CAGCAGCCGCGGUAAUACGUAGGUCCCGAGCGUUGUCCGGAUUUAUUGGGCGUAAAGCGAGCGCAGGCGGACUGAUAAGUCAGGGGUGAAAUCCCAAGGCUCAACCUUGGAACUGCCCUUGAUACUGUUUGUCUUGAGUUCGAGAGAGGUUAGUGGAACUGCGAGUGUAGAGGUGAAAUUCGUAGAUAUUCGCAAGAACACCAGUGGCGAAGGCGGCUUACUGGCUCGAAACUGACGCUGAGGCGCGAAAGCGUGGGGAGCAAACAGGAUUAGAGACCCGUGUAGUCCCUGUCUCUUAUAC
rnacentral:rRNA from 1 species